rnacentral:rRNA from 1 species
AUUGAACGCUGGCGGCAGGCCUAACACAUGCAAGUCGAACGAGUGGCGGACGGGUGAGUAAUGUCUGAGAAACUGCCUGAUGGAGGGGGAUAACUACUGGAAACGGUAGCUAAUACCACAUACCCUCAGAUGUUCCCAGAUGGGAUUAGCUAGUAGGUGGGGUAAUGGCUAACCUGGGCGACGAUCCCUAGCUGGUCUGAGAGGAUGACCGCCCACAUGGGAACUGAGACACGGUCCAGACUCUUACGGUGGGCAGAAGGGGGGAAUAUUGCACAAUGGGCGCAAGCCUGAUGCAGCAAUGCCGCGUGUGUGAAGAAGGCCUUCGGGUUGUAAAGCACUUUCAGCGAGGAGGCGUUACUCGCAGAAGAAGCACCGGCUAACUCCGUGCCAGCAGCCGCGGUAAUAC